AUGGUGGGCAACACUGCUAAAUUUAGUCCUAAUGAAUCCUUUAAAGAGAAAUGAAAUUUUAAGCAAAAAGAUUACAAUACACCAUACCACUUCCACUUCACUUGGGCCCGUAAAAUAGUGUGAAAAGUACAAUUAUGCAUUAGCGCUGCAUCUUAUGUUUGGAAUUACGCAGUCUCCAUUUAUCUUUGUGAAACAGUUGUUGUCUCUUUUCUUUGGGGAAACAAAGAAAAACUCCUAGCUCCAAUUGUAAUCAAAAAGUUUCAGACGCAGAUACUGCAUUACCUUUGACAUAAACGCACCCAUUGUUCCUAUUUCAGCCACCAUAGUUGAUUUUUCAGGGCUCAACCCAACAUAAACGGCAUGUGUAUUAUUUAGCAUGCACCCUGCUUUAAGGCACUUCCUUAGCUUUUCAAUCCACAGAGUCACCUGUGGACCCACAUGCACGGCUAAAGACCCCGAUCAGGCUUUAGGCAGGCGAAACCUCCAUCCUCCUGCUCCACUGGGCCACGGAAGACGGAUGAUUCCUCAAGGUCAUGAGCUGAAUGUACUGAGGCGCUCACCGACCGCCUCUCAAAUCCACUAAAAUCAACACAAUAAUUGAAAUAUUUUCAAGCUGAUUACACUGAGGCCCGAGGCUCGGCUGGUUGCUAUGAGUGUGCUCCUCGGUUGCUAGGGGGAGUAAAUCAUCUUGCAUUAUUUGAUUUUUGUUACUGAUAUGAAAGCGCUAGUCCCACGAUUAAAUGUCUCACAGUCAAACACCUAGGGGACAGAGAGGAGAGACAAAAUAAAACAGUCGACGUGAACCUGUCAAAUAGCAUUUCAAAAGUUUUCCUGUCCUGAGGGCUCGGGCGCAAAUCUGCCUGCUUAUUUGUGUUUGUUCCAGCUGAAAUGACAAAGCGAAGAGCACAGGCUGAUUGAAGGAGAGCAGAGCAAGCAUGGUUGAAAUGUCAGGGAAUCACACAUCAAUCUGAGCUCUGGUCACAUCAUCAGCCUCUCUUAGCGCUUUGUCCUGCUCCUAAACUAACUCUGAUUGAGUAAUUCAGGAGUGUGAUCCAGGUGGUAAGUGAAGUGGGAUGAGAACAAUUUAGGCAAUGCUUGAGCUGCUUUUUUAACCUCAAACUGAAAGAAAAACACACGGCUCACUGUUGUGUUGGGCCCAAGCAAGUAGUCUGAUGUUUGACUGACAAUUCAGAUGUUUAUUUAUUUAUUUUAUACUGACAUGUCAUUAUAGAAAAUAUUGUAAAGUCUCUCUCUCUAGACAAAUAAAAUAUUGUUUCAAAUCUUGAUUACAUUUUUAAAUUUUAUUUAUUUGCAAAUUUAGCUUAGAAUGUUUGAAAUGUGGAUAAAGAUGGGAACUACCUUUUUAUUAUUAUUAUUAUUAUUAUUAUUAUUGUUUUUAAUGUAAUGCAACUAUAACUGCUGACUAGUUUCAGAUUUUUGAAACUUUAUUUGAAAUUAUAUGGAGUCCUAUAUUAUUUAACAUAAUGCAUAACCUAAAAACCUUCCAUGUAUAUAUAAAACCUUCUCAGUGUUUCACUAUUCACUACAGGCUAAAAAAAAGCAAGAUUUUUAGAUAAAAAAUAUUAUGUGUGCAUUUUUGCUUUUUGAUUAUUGGCGCAUGUUUUUAUUGUUUCUGAAAAAAAUAAAAUCAUAUACACUCACAUAUGAAAAAACAAACAAACAAUAAUGUCAUAAAAGCUGCUUUAUUUAACAUGUGCAAGGUAGCUUUAUGGUGGCUGACUUGUUGAAAUCAUAUGACCAGCGAACUAUUCAUUUACAUCACGUAUUAUAGGAUACUUUCGCUCACUUACUGUCAUUAAUGCAAUUCUACAACAUCUUAGGAAACUGGCGACUAUUACUUCCAUGCCAUUCAACUGCCAUACUGAUGAGUGCCACGUUAAAAGAAAUACUGAGUGCCCCUCUAACACUCUUAUAACCAAUAAGAAUCUGUUUUGGGUACAGCUAGGAUUUGUAUAAGAAAGUAGCCUCUAAACCGAACCCUAUUCAUCUGCAUUAUUUUACAAAUGAAGCUGCACACCCUGCGGAGAUGAGCUUAGUUUCCCUGUUCCAUUGUAUCCAGCUGUACU
ensembl:lncRNA